UGAGGACAGAAAAGAAAGCUUCCAUCUGAAGCCAGGAACUCCGCUCUUACAAGGCUCUGGAUCUGCCUGCACCUUUGUUGUGGACUGUCUACCCUUUAGAACUGAGGAAGUUACUAUACAUCCUGGGCCUCAAGUUAUAUACCUGAGAGGAGGAGGAGGGAGAGGAGGAAAAAGAUUAAUGCUCUCAGGAUGGCUUCUUGCUACCACCAGGUGAACAGAUAGCCUCUGCUGUGCUGCUACGAUGAUCAACUGCAUUGGCCAAUGUACCAGAGCCAAGCAUCCAUGAGCGAAGACCUCUGAAAUCACGAGCCUAAACAAAGCUCCCAUGUUUUGUCAGAGUCGUGGAAAGUGGAAAGUUUACCAAUGCAACAAGCUAACUCUACACCUUGACCCUCCAGGCAAGGGGAGAAGAUGUUGGCCUCAAUGACGGCUGGAUUUCAUGAUUUGCAUCUGAAGCUCUGCUCUGUGAUCUCAGCUGACAAGAACCAUAGUGUAGUUGUGGUGUCAUUGUCCAAAAGUUUAGCUUCUGAUGGCAACCACCCCAUGACCUGCCUGAGACUAUGGACAGAACUGCUUAGAUGUGCUCACACUAUAAAGGAAGAUGGGGAUAUGCUAAUGAGGACAGCCAUAACCAGAAGUUGCAAGAUUCACAGCCAAAUUGCAAUAAAUCUGUGGAGAUUCUUAAAGAACAAGACACACAGGAAAAGUAUGAUUGCAGGACAAACUGCUUUGUAAAUGAACGGCACUACUGCUGAGUCUUGGAAAAGACAAGAACAUUCACAAAACUCCUAACCCAACGCACAUUAGUCAGCCCUGCUGACUGGCGGAUGAGUGAUGGCGCUGCGUGGGCGAGCUCUCCCUGAGGAGCCUCUGGAAGGAUUCAGGGCUGAAUGCUGAUGCACAACGUAAAUAAAAGACUGCAGUUUGCUCGUUUUUCCUCCUCAACCAAUUGCCCCUGCCCCACAGCUCAAUCUGUGUUCACGCCCCUCUGCUCUGCCUAUGCCAAGUCGGCAACAGGACCGAGUUGCCAUGUUAUAUAACCUAUCCCAUAUUCGUCUUCAAAGGCCCAAAGAUUAUACCUAUGAAUGCCAUUUGUGUUUGAUGACAUUGGGGAUGGUGUGAAAGUGAAGGCUUUGAGGUAAAAAGGAGUGAAAAUGCAAAUCAUUUUGAGUGCCUUCAUAGGGAUAUUUGGAGGACAUGCAUGUGCUCUGUUUGCUGGAUUCAUUGAAGUUCAUCACAUUUUGUAAUACUAGAUGAAUUUUAAAGUAGCCUUCCCAUUUUAAAACUACUUCUCAUGAAAGCUCAGAGGUCGGGGGUUAUGAGGAGACUUCUCUCAUUGCUUCUAAAAUAUCAAAGUUUUAUUUCCCUCAUUUAGUCUUAGAUGAGAGAUCCAGAGACAGAAGAAUAAAAUAAUAUGGUAUAACAGGUUAAAUUCUGAUCUCAUUGAGACAUUAGGCUUUGUAUAAACUGAGAGGAUAACUUUUCCUUGUGAACUAGCUAACGCUUGGAUCUGUAGUGAGAAAUAGGAUGAGCCAACUUAAUACCAAUUUUUAUUUCAUUUUCCCUCCUGUUUCUUUGGUUAGGUCUCUUCAUGAAAUCUCAGUGGAAGGGCUGGAGAGAUGGCUCAGUGGUUAAGAUCACAUACUGCCUGUGUCAGAUGGUUCACAACUCUAGCUCCAGGGGAAUCUGAAGAUCUUGUCCGGCUUCUGUGGGCACCUGCAUUCAUGUGCACAGACCCACACAGAGACACAUAUA